GCUAACAAUCUAGCCCACCAACACUUUAUGAACCUAAAUAUCUCAUCACAAGAACUAAAACAUUCUGUUAAUUUAGUAAAGGCGAUUAAAAAAUUAGUAGGAGCAACACAAAUAGUACCGCAAGGGAAAGAUGAAAUAAAAAUGAAAAAAACAUCAAGCACAAGACAGUAGAGACUAACUCUCGUACCUUUUGCAUCAUGGUUUAACAAGUCCAAUCAAGCACAAUGAAUUACAGUUUGACCUCCCGAAACUAAGUGAGCUACUUCAGGGCAGCUUAUUGAGCGAACCCGUCUCUGUUGCAAAAGAGUGGGAAGACCCUCAAGUAGGGGUGAUAGACCUAACGAACUUAGUGAUAGCUGGUUACUCAAGAAAAGGAUUUAAGUCCAGCCUAAAAUCUUCUCAGUUUUUCAAAACAAGGCUUUGAUUUUAGAGUAAUUCGAAUAAGGUACAGCCUAUUUGAAAAAGGAUACAACCUAAAAUAACGGGUAAUAUUAUGAUUUUAUAACUAAGUGGGCCUAAAAGCAGCCACCUUUAAAAUAGCGUCAAAGCUUUAUUAUUAUAUUUUCCUAAUUCCUAAAAAAUUUAACAACCCUUUAAUUCUAUUGAGUAAUUCUAUAAUUCUAUAGAAAAUAUCAUGUUAAAACUAGUAACAAGAAGAAAACCUUCUCUUUAAUGCAAGUGUAAAUCAGAAAGGACCCCCCACUGAUAAUCAACUCCUAUGAACCUACAUUAGCAACUUUUCAAGAAAACCCUAAUAAAAUUUGAGUUAAUCUAACACAAGAACAUUACAAGAAAGAUUAAAAGAAAAAGAAGGAACUCGGCAAACAUUAACCUCGCCUGUUUACCAAAAACAUCGCCUCUUGAAUAUCUAUAAGAGGUCCAGCCUGCCCAGUGACUCUGUUCAACGGC
rnacentral:rRNA from 1 species